rnacentral:rRNA from 1 species
GACGAACGCUGGCGGCGUGCCUAAUACAUGCAAGUAGAACGCUGAAGAGAGGAGCUUGCUCUUCUUGGAUGAGUUGCGAACGGGUGAGUAACGCGUAGGUAACCUGCCUUGUAGCGGGGGAUAACUAUUGGAAACGGUAGCUAAUACCGCAUAACAAUGGAUGACACAUGUCAUUUAUUUGAAAGGGGCAAUUGCUCCACUACAAGAUGGACCUGCGUUGUAUUAGCUAGUAGGUGAGGUAACGGCUCACCUAGGCGACGAUACAUAGCCGACCUGAGAGGGUGAUCGGCCACACUGGGACUGAGACACGGCCCAGACUCCUACGGGAGGCAGCAGUAGGGAAUCUUCGGCAAUGGGGGCAACCCUGACCGAGCAACGCCGCGUGAGUGAAGAAGGUUUUCGGAUCGUAAAGCUCUGUUGUAAGUCAAGAACGAGUGUGAGAGUGGAAAGUUCACACUGUGACGGUAGCUUACCAGAAAGGGACGGCUAACUACGUGCCAGCAGCCGCGGUAAUACGUAGGUCCCGAGCGUUGUCCGGAUUUAUUGGGCGUAAAGCGAGCGCAGGCGGUUUGAUAAGUCUGAAGUUAAAGGCUGUGGCUCAACCAUAGUUCGCUUUGGAAACUGUCAAACUUGAGUGCAGAAGGGGAGAGUGGAAUUCCAUGUGUAGCGGUGAAAUGCGUAGAUAUAUGGAGGAACACCGGUGGCGAAAGCGGCUCUCUGGUCUGUAACUGACGCUGAGGCUCGAAAGCGUGGGGAGCGAACAGG